CCCUACGGGGGGCAGCAGUGAGGAAUAUUGGUCAAUGGUCGGGAGACUGAACCAGCCAAGCCGCGUGAGGGAUGAAGGUACAGAGUAUCGUAAACCUCUUUUGUCAGGGAACAAAGGCGGGGACGUGUCCCCGGAUGAGUGUACCUGAAGAAAAAGCAUCGGCUAACUCCGUGCCAGCAGCCGCGGUAAUACGGAGGAUGCGAGCGUUAUCCGGAUUUAUUGGGUUUAAAGGGUGCGCAGGGGGUCUGUUAAGUCAGCGGUCAAAGCCCGGGGCUCAACCCCGGCCCGCCGUUGAAACUGUCAGC
rnacentral:rRNA from 1 species